rnacentral:tmRNA from 1 species
GGGGGUGCGUGGCUUCGAUCCUGGGGAUCGAGGUGGGUGAAGCGAGCCGACGUCCCCGGAUCGUCGUGAAAAAGCCGGGAACACUGAUACACGCCGACGACAACGUCGCGCUCGCUGCCUAACUUCGGUUAGGUAGCGCGUCCGUUCCGGCCCAGCCGCUCGGUCGGAUUGCGGGCGUCAUCUCGAGCGGCUUACCGCCGGGACGGGCCUCGUGGCCCGGCGGGACAUCACAGCGAGGCUGGGGUUGCCGCAGGCCGCCGGCGAGCGGCGGCGACCCGAGAUCUACUCGCCGGCUGCGCUCGGAGAAGCCCCACCGAAGACUCGGGAGACGCGGGUUCGACUCCCGCCACCUCCACUG